rnacentral:hammerhead_ribozyme from 1 species
GUACUACUGAAGGGUCCCAAAGACUAGGACGAAACAGCUGUCCAGUAC